UACGGAGGGGACUAGCGUUGUUCGGAAUUACUGGGCGUAAAGAGCUCGUAGGCGGUUCGUCGCGUCGGCUGUGAAAUCCCGAGGCUCAACCUCGGGUCUGCAGUCGAUACGGGCGGACUGGAGUUCGGCAGGGGAGACUGGAAUUCCUGGUGUAGCGGUGAAAUGCGCAGAUAUCAGGAGGAACACCGGUGGCGAAGGCGGGUCUCUGGGCCGAUACUGACGCUGAGGAGCGAAAGCGUGGGGAGCGAACAGG
rnacentral:rRNA from 1 species